GACGAACGCUGGCGGCGUGCUUAACACAUGCAAGUCGAACGGAAAGGCCCUGCUUUUGUGGGGUUCUCGAGUGGCGAACGGGUGAGUAACACGUGAGUAACCUGCCCUGUACUUGGGGAUAACUUCAGGAAACUGGGGCUAAUACCGGAUAGGAGCGCCUGCUGCAUGGUGGGGUUUGGAAAGUUUCGGCGGUUGGGGAUGGACUCGGGGCUUACUAGCUGGUUGGUGGGGUAGUGGCUUACCAAGGCAUUGAUGGGUGGCCGGCCUGGGAGGGUGAACGGCCACAUUGGGACUGAGGUACGGCCCAGACUGCAACGGGAGGCAGCAGUGGGGAAUAUUGCACAAUGGGCGGAAGCCUGAUGCAGCAACGCCGCGUGCGGGAUGACGGCCUUCGGGUUGUAAACCGCUUUAGCCUGUGACGAAGCGUGAGUGACGGUAAUGGGUAAAGAAGCACCGGCUAACUACGUG
rnacentral:rRNA from 1 species